rnacentral:rRNA from 1 species
UAGCCAUGGGCAGGUUGAAGGUUGGGUAACACUAACUGGAGGACCGAACCGACUAAUGUUGAAAAAUUAGCGGAUGACCUGUGGCUGGGGGUGAAAGGCCAAUCAAACCGGGAGAUAGCUGGUUCUCCCCGAAAGCUAUUUAGGUAGCGCCUCGUGAAUUCAUCUCCGGGGGUAGAGCACUGUUUCGGCUAGGGGGCCAUCCCGGCUUACCAACCCGAUGCAAACUGCGAAUACCGGAGAAUGUUAUCACGGGAGACACACGGCGGGUGCUAACGUCCGUCGUGAAGAGGGAAACAACCCAGACCGCCAGCUAAGGUCCCAAAGUCAUGGUUAAGUGGGAAACGAUGUGGGAAGGCCCAGACAGCCAGGAUGUUGGCUUAGAAGCAGCCAUCAUUUAAAGAAAGCGUAAUAGCUCACUGGUCGAGUCGGCCUGCGCGGAAGAUGUAACGGGGCUAAACCAUGCACCGAAGCUGCGGCAGCGACACUGUGUGUUGUUGGGUAGGGGAGCGUUCUGUAAGCCUGUGAAGGUGUGUCGUGAGGCAUGCUGGAGGUAUCAGAAGUGCGAAUGCUGACAUAAGUAACGAUAAAGCGGGUGAAAAGCCCGCUCGCCGGAAGACCAAGGGUUCCUGUCCAACGUUAAUCGGGGCAGGGUGAGUCGACCCCUAAGGCGAGGCCGAAAGGCGUAGUCGAUGGGAAACGGGUUAAUAUUCCCGUACUUGGUGUUACUGCGAAGGGGGGACGGAGAAGGCUAUGUUGGCCGGG